UUUAAAGUCUGGCCUGCCCAAUGAUUGUAAGAUUGAAUGGCUGCGGUACUCUGACCGUACUAAGGUAGCAUAAUAAUUAGUUUUUUAAUUGAAAGCUGGUAUGAAUGGUCGGACGAGGGAAUAACUGUCUCAAUUUAAUUUAAAUUAGAAUUUUAUUUUUAAGUAAAAAAGCUUAAAUAAUUUUAAAAGACGAGAAGACCCUAUAGAGUUUUAUAUUUUUAUAUAAUUAUGAGUUUAAAGAAUUUAAUAUUUGGAUUAUAUGAAAAUAUUUUGUUGGGGCGACAAAAAAAUUUAAGGAACUUUUUUUAAAUUAUAUCAUUGAUUUAUGAGUAAGUGAUCCAUUAUUUAUGAUUAAAAGAUUAAAUUACCUUAGGGAUAACAGCGUAAUUUUUUUUGAGAGUUCA
rnacentral:rRNA from 1 species